rnacentral:lncRNA from 1 species
UGGGAUUUGACGACAACACUAAAACAUCAUCAUACACUGCCGACUCCUCUUGUUUAUAAUUUAUUAUAUCCAGCUCAUCCGGAGGAUAAUUUCACUAAAAGGUACAAAUAUUUGCAGUUGAAAUAUCUCUCUGGACACUUGAAUGACAAUCUUUUAGGGAUAUUAGAAAAUCUUGGGAUAGAGAUGAAGCCUUUUGGUAAGGACUGUCAUGAAGCAUUGUGCAACAAGUUUGCCAUGUGUGGGGUGAAUAAGUCUCCCAGUGUCGGUA